rnacentral:lncRNA from 1 species
AUCAAUUAAAAAGGUUCUUUUUAUUCAAUAAAGUGAUAACUAUCCUUAAUAUCCCACUCAAGGUUGAAGAAGAAAUGAAGAAGCAUGAAAGUAAUAAUGUGGGAUUACUAGAAAACCUGACUAAUGGUGCCACUGCUGGCAAUGGUGAUGAUGGAUUAAUUCCUCAAAGGAAGAGCAGAACACCUGAAAAUCAGCAAUUUCCUGACAACGAAAGUGAAGAGUAUCACAGAAUUUGUGAAUUACUUUCUGACUACAAAGAAAAACAGAUGCCAAAAUACUCUUCUGAAAACAGCAACCCAGGUAAGACUUGUGAUAGUGAAUUACUUUAGGUCAGUUGUCCACAAUCUUUUUGGCACCAGGGACCGGUUUUGUGGAAGACAAUCUUUCCAUGGGCUGGGGGAAGGUGGGGAUGGUUUCAGGAUUGUUCAGUCACAUUACACUUAUUGUGCUACUUUAUAUUAUUAUUACAUUGUAAUAUAUAAUAAAAUAAUUAUACAACUUACCAUAAUGUAGAAUCAGUGGAAGCUCUGAGCUUAUUUUUCUGCAACUAGAUGUUCCCUUCUGGGGGCAAAGUGAGACAAUGACAGAUCAUCAGGCAUUAGAUUCUCAUAGGAAGCACACAACCUAG